UACGUAGGGCGCAAGCGUUGUCCGGAAUUAUUGGGCGUUAAAGAGCUCGUAGGUGGUUUGUCGCGUUGUUCGUGAAAACUCACAGCUUAACUGUGGGCGUGCGGGCGAUACGGGCAGACUGGAGUACUGCAGGGGAGACUGGAAUUCCUGGUGUAGCGGUGGAAUGCGCAGAUAUCAGGAGGAACACCGGUGGCGAAGGCGGGGUCUCUGGGCAGUAACUGACGCUGAGGAGCGAAAGCGUGGGGAGCGAACAGG
rnacentral:rRNA from 1 species